GAUCUCCGUCCUCCACAAUCCGGCUGACUCCUCCGCAGGGGUAGGCAGCCUGUGGAAGGGCUUGUUUCGCCCCAUCACUUGGUAUUCUAACUGAAUGGAAAUGUCGUCAUCUUCAAGACUCAUUCUAUUACUGCUUUGUUAAUACGUUAACUUUUGUCCAAGAGAAUUAAUUGAUGCUGUGUCCAGAUAUAUUUCAUCAAGGAAUUUUUAACUCUUAUCGCAACAGAACCAACAUUAUUUUUAGACACUUCUUUUACAAGCUGCUCCAUUUCUACAACUAUGUAUGAUAAGAAAUGCUUCGUAUUUAUACAUGUAUCCUUAUCUCGUUCUGGAAAAUUCUAUUGGAAUGGAUGCCUGACUGGAAUGCUUGGCACAUGUGGUAUGAUUUCAGAAAUUUUUUGCAAUGCACUUCUGAUGUUCGCUGAUCAAAUCAAGAUUUCAUUUCUGUUUAUAACAUCAAAGCAAGUGUUUGAAAUGCAAUUCUUUUAUGCCUGAUAAUAAGUACUCUUUAACACACAAAUGCCGUUAAUUGUUCUAUAAAUUAGAAAUAUAUAAAUGGAUGAUUUUAUUCAAGCUGAAUGUGUAUAUUAUUCAGAUGAG
rnacentral:lncRNA from 1 species